rnacentral:rRNA from 1 species
GACGGAAGGUGCAAGCGUUGCUCGGAAUCACUGGGCGUAAAGGGUGCGUAGGCGGCCGUGCAAGUCUGGCGUGAAAGCCCCGGGCUCAGCCCGGGAAGUGCGCUCGAAACUGCGCGGCUCGAGUGCCGGAGGGGAGAGUGGAAUUCCUGGUGUAGCGGUGAAAUGCGCAGAUAUCAGGAGGAACACCGGUGGCGAAGGCGGGUCUCUGGGCCGUAACUGACGCUGAGGAGCGAAAGCAUGGGGAGCGAACAGG